rnacentral:rRNA from 1 species
GGCCAGACUCCUACGGGAGGCAGCAGUGGGGAAUAUUGCGCAAUGGACGAAAGUCUGACGCAGCGACGCCGCGUGAGGGAUGAAGGUUUUCGGAUCGUAAACCUCUGUCAGGAGGGAAGAAAGCGUAUGGCGCCAAUCAGCCAUGCGUUGACGGUACCUCCAAAGGAAGCACCGGCUAACUCCGUGCCAACAGCCGCGGUAAUACGGAGGGUGCGAGCGUUAAUCGGAAUCACUGGGCGUAAAGCGCGCGUAGGCGGCUUUUCAAGUCAGGGGUGAAAUCCCACGGCCCAACCGUGGAACUGCCUUUGAAACUGCAGAGCUUGAGUGUCGGAGAGGGUGGCGGAAUUCCAGGUGUAGGAGUGAAAUCCGUAGAUAUCGGGAGGAACACCGGUGGCGAAGGCGGCCACCUGGACGACAACUGACGCUGAGGUGCGAAAGCGUGGGUAGCAAACAGGAUUAGAUACCCUCGUA